UACGUAGGGGGCAAGCGUUAUCCGGAUUUACUGGGUGUAAAGGGGGCGCAGACGGCGAUGCAAGCCAGGAGUGAAAGCCCGGGGCCCAACCUCGUCGAGCCGUUGAAACUGGGUGUCUUGAGUGGGCGAGAAGUACGCGGAAUGCGUGGUGUAGCGGUGAAAUGCAUAGAUAUCACGCAGAACUCCGAUUGCGAAGGCAGCGUACCGGCGCCCAACUGACGCUGAAGCACGAAGGCGUGGGUAUCGAACAGG
rnacentral:rRNA from 1 species